rnacentral:rRNA from 1 species
AUUGAACGCUGGCGGCAGGCCUAAUACAUGCAAGUCGAGCGGAGCGGCGGACGGGUGAGUAAUGCCUAGGUAUCUGCCUGGUAGUGGGGGAUAACGUCCGGAAACGGGCGCUAAUACCGCAUACUAUCAGAUGAGCCUAGGUCGGAUUAGCUAGUUGGUCGGGUAAAGGCCUACCAAGGGGACGAUCCGUAACUGGUCUGAGAGGAUGAUCAGUCACACUGGAACUGAGAAACGGUACAGAGUACUACGGGAGGAAGCAGUGGGGAAUAUGGGAAAAUGGGCGAAAGCCUGAUCCAGGCAUGCCGGGUGUGUAAAGAAGGGCUUCGGAUUGUAAAGCACUUUAAGUUGGGAGGCGUUACCAACAGAAGAAGCACCGGCUAACUUCGUGCCAGCAGCCGCGGUAAUAC